UGGGGAAUAUUGGACAAUGGGCGCAAGCCUGAUCCAGCAAUGCCGCGUGUGUGAAGAAGGCCUUCGGGUUGUAAAGCACUUUUAUCAGGAGCGAAACGCUGUCGGCUAAUACCCGGCGGAACUGACGGUACCUGAGGAAUAAGCACCGGCUAACUUCGUGCCAGCAGCCGCGGUAAUACGAAGGGUGCAAGCGUUAAUCGGAAUUACUGGGCGUAAAGCGUGCGUAGGCGGUUUCUUAAGUCUGCUGUGAAAUCCCCGGGCUCAACCUGGGAAUGGCAGUGGAUACUGGGAGGCUAGAGUGUGUCAGAGGGUGGUGGAAUUCCCGGUGUAGCGGUGAAAUGCGUAGAGAUCGGGAGGAACAUCAGUGGCGAAGGCGGCCACCUGGGACAACACUGACGCUGAGGCACGAAAGCGUGGGGGAGCAAACAGGAUUAGGAUACCCUGGUAGUCCACGCCCUAAAGCGAUGCGAACUGGAUGUUGGUCUCAACUCGGAGAUCAGUGUCGAAGCUAACGCGUUAAGUUCGCCGCCCUGGGGAGUACGGUCGCAAGACUGGAAACUCAAAGGAAUUGACGGGGUCAUAGCUGUUUCCUG
rnacentral:rRNA from 1 species